GUAGGGGUGAUAGAUUCCAUGGC
rnacentral:miRNA from 1 species